GGCAAUGUGGCUCAGUGGUAGAGCGCUUGCCUUGCAUGCAUGAGGCGUGCAAGGAUUCAAUUCCUCAGUACCA
rnacentral:tRNA from 1 species